rnacentral:rRNA from 1 species
UGGGGAAUAUUGCACAAUGGGGGGAAACCCUGAUGCAGCGACGCCGCGUGAGCGAUGAAGUAUUUCGGUAUGUAAAGCUCUAUCAGCAGGGAAGAAAAUGACGGUACCUGACUAAGAAGCACCGGCUAAAUACGUGCCAGCACCGCGGUAAUCAUGCUGU